UUUAGGUAUUUUUAUACUAAGAUUUCAUAUUGAAUUGGCAGUCUUCGUACUAAGAAUCCAGCUUUCAGGGAGAGAGAUAGGCUGAUUUUUCAGAACUUGAAAUUCAGUCCUUGAGAGCUAAAAACUGAAAGUGAAGCCUUUUCUUUACUGUUGAAAAUCAGAACUCUGGUACUGCUUCUGUGGAUUGUAUUUGGUACUACUGAUUUUCACAUUGGCUUUCCUGGGUAUUCUGUUUGGUUUUUGAGUAUUGUUUCAUUGAGUUCCUAGGUUUCUGCUUGGGUUUCUGGUCUGCACUGGUUUUCUGCUACUGUUAUAUUGGUUUUUACUAUCUCUGGUGCAUCUGUGUUGCUGUUUGGUUUUUUGAAACUGUUAUUGGUUUUCCUGGGAACUGUUCUGUUGGGUUUCUGCCUAUUGCUGGUCAAUCUACCUGCUAUUGUUAUUUCACCUGCUGAUCCUCCUCUUCUUCCUCUAUUAGAAUCAGUUGUGUAGUCUUGUUUUUAAAUUCAAUGGAAAUAUGGAUUGUAGAGUUAUGCAGUUGAAUGGAACUGUCUUCUUUUGUUUAAAAUUGCAAUCUGUA
rnacentral:lncRNA from 1 species